GGGGUUAACAUGCUUUUGUUUCCAAGUAUAUUGUCGGAUAGUUUCCAGUUGCCCUUACUUGAAACAGUUUGACCAUCAUUUUAGGACAGAUAAUGGGAGCCCGUGAAAUGCAGUUCCUGUUUGUGCAGUCUCAGGUACUCGGUGGACCACCAAAAAGCAGAUGCAAUUGUGAUUUUGGGAUAUUUUUACGGCCAUGUUACACUUUCCUUUUCUCCAGCAUUUUCAUGGGUAUUUACAUAUUUCCAACACUAUCAUUUUUGAAUUGCCAUCUGCUAGUAUCCAACCUGUUUUGAUAAAAUUAGAUCCAAAACUUUUGUGACCCACAAAAAAAAAGUUUAUAAUGGCCUUCCACCACUGUUUUGUAUGUUGUGGUCCACCUGAAAUUUGUAUAUAGUUCAUCUUUUGGCCCAUGCCAUAAAAUUUGUAUCUUGUUUACACCAUUAAAAACCAUAAACUAAAAUGGAUCUGCUACAGAUGUUACUAUUAAAGAAGGUGGUAUCCAUGAGGCUCUAUUUUGGAAUUAUUUCCUCCUCGAAUAUCUCUUAAAUAAAAAUCUCUUGUUAUAUCUCAUCAUAUUGUCAGGAUUCUUGAUAAAAAGAAGGAAAAAAAGAAGAAGAAAUGUUUCUGAGAACCUGGACCUGGAACUGAUUGGGUUCAACUAUCCUUUGGUACCCAUUGGGUCUUUGGACCUUGGUUUCCAGUGGGUCUGGUUCAGGUUCAUGUUAAACAAGGGCAUUUACAUGAUUGUGCCACUUGAAUGGAUUGAUUAGAUCACACACAUGUUUACCACAUAACGGCUUCACUACAAAUUGAAAAGCAAGGCGCUACCGGAUUGUCAUGAACUGUGGACCGGCGAGUAGUUCUCGGGAACAAAGAUUGCAAGGACUCUUCACCAACCCAAAUGUCCUCCCAAAAACUAAUAUUCUCCCCAUUCCCGAGGGCAAAGCCCAUUCCUUCAACAAAAUUUGACUUCAUAGAAAUAAUCUCUUUCCAAAUUGCCAAGGCUCUAGACAUGGAGGAUUCCCUAAUACACCAUGCCUCCCACUGAACCUUUUCCCUUUUUCAUUGUUUGGCUUGGAAUCCAUGGUUUCAGACAUACCUUAGUUCUUGGAGAAGUUCUAAACUAGAAAUCAAUAUCUCUUUUUCAUUUAUGGUUUGUUGUUUUAGGUGAGAUGGAUGGCGAGGAACACAGUGAAAUUGAAUCUGCAGCAGAGUUGUUUUGGUGAAGCCACUCACAGCUGGACUUCUGUUGGAAGCGAUCCAGACAACCAUUUCUAACUGAAAAAUGUGCCUAAAUAGUGAAGCACCACCAGUCAACAGUCCGGAGAUCGUAAAGAGUAGUAUCCAGAUGGCUUCCUGCACUUUUCUCCAAUGACAUAGUUGAAGGCUUCCUUCUACAAAUGUUCAGUCACUUGACAUAAAUGCACCGUAGUUCUGGAAAUGAGAAGGAUGGAAAAAUUGGUACCUUGGAAGACAAGCAGGUGAGCUGUGGUCUGGACUCUGUACUUUGUAUAAAAUGAUAGGAUGAAACCAAAAUCUUAUUUGGUGCUUUAUCUACAAUGUGAUAUAUUGCUUAUUCUGUUUGCUUACACCAGUUGAUGUUUAUGAAGAAAAUAUGAUCAUUCACUGUUUGAUACAUGUAUGGAUUCUAAUCAUGCAUUUGUAAAUGUGAAUGCAUGUACUAUGAUUUCUUCAUGGAUUCAAAGUGUGAAAACUUGCUAAAUGAAGAUGUCUGCUAAUUACAAAUUACAAUUUAAAAGUAUACAUAGAGAAUGAUUAAUGGCUGGACGAAUUUGUUUCCCAUUUGUAACUGUGUGGUAGCCUCAAUAUGUAUAUUUGUGUAUCCUUCUUAAUAAUUUU